UUGGCCACAGUGCGAUAAAGGUCCAGCAUGAAGACUGGGGCAGAUGAUGAACGUUUGAUAGACAACAAAGGUUUGGGACGCCGAGCAGUCCCAGCUCAGAGAACCUGUAGAUGAAAACAUUAAUCAACUGUGCAAGAUUACAAGGUAGUGGAAGAACUGUAAAUAUCAUUUACUGUUGCUCCAGAAACAGCUUCUUUAGACCUAAAUAUCUAUUUGUACCAGUAAAUAAGUUGGAGCUUUA